UAGGGAAUUUUCGUCAAUGGGCGAAAGCCUUACCCAGCAACGCCGCGUGAGGGAAGAAGGUUUUCGGAUUGUAAACCUCUGUCCUGGGGGACGAAGGAAGUGACGGUACCCCGGGAGGAAGCCCCGGCUAACUACGUGCCAGCAGCCGCGGUAAUACGUAGGGGGCGAGCGUUGUCCGGAAUUAUUGGGCGUAAAGGGCGCGUAGACGGGCCGAGUAAGUUAUAGGUGAAAGCCCAUCUUUCAAGGAUGGAAUUGCCUGUAAUACUGCCUGGCUUGAGUGCAGGAGAGGGAAGCGGAAUUCCUAGUGUAGCGGUGAAAUGCGUAGAUAUUAGGAGGAACACCAGUGGCGAAGGCGGCUUUCUGGACUGUAACUGACGUUGAGGCGCGAAGGCGUGGGGAGCAAACAGGAUUAGAUACC
rnacentral:rRNA from 1 species